GCUUCACUAUAGUUCAGUGGUAGAACAACCCACUCCGACUUUCAUUCGGUUAUGGGGAGCGCGGGGAUUCGAAUCCUCCUGGUGGCA